rnacentral:tRNA from 1 species
GCGCUCUUAGCUCAUCCGGAAGAGCAACGGUCUUCUAAACCGUGGGGACAGGUUCGAGUCCUGUAGAGCGUA